UUCAAAAAAGACAAAUUAUAAUAGAGGAUAAGAAAAUAUAAUUCUUUUAUUCAUUCUUAUUGAUGCAAUUAUUGCAUAUAUGAGAUUGAGUUAAAUUUAAUACAUAAUGAUUGGUGUAAAUAUAAUGUAAGAGCUUUGAAGUUUUAGGGUUGAAAAUCACAGAAUGGAGCGCAUGGGACACAACAUGGAGCUCUAGGACAAGUUAUUGGUAAACAAGGUCCAUAAGAUGGACAACAAGGUGGUAAUUGUUGAAUGCCUUGAGAGUUACCAACCAAAGCACCUAUAAUAGCAAUGACUAAAACCAAUAACUUGAAUAGCAUCUUCCACAAAGUGGCCAUUACAACUAAGUUGGGUUUACAAAUAAAAACAAAUGAAAUAUCUU
rnacentral:lncRNA from 1 species